UACGUAGGGGACAAGCGUUGUCCGGAAUUAUUGGGCGUAAAGCGCGUGUAGGCGGCCAAGUAAGUCUUACGUGAAAUCCUGAGGCUCAACCUCAGCCUGCGCGGGAUACUGCUUGGCUAGAGUCCGGAAGAGGAGAGUGGAAUUCCUGGUGUAGCGGUGGAAUGCGCAGAUAUCAGGAGGAACAUCCGUGGCGAAGGCGGGCUC
rnacentral:rRNA from 1 species